rnacentral:rRNA from 1 species
GACGAACGCUGGCGGCGUGCUUAACACAUGCAAGUCGAACGGAAAGGCCCUGCUUUUGUGGGGUGCUCGAGUGGCGAAAGGGUGAGUAACACGUGAGUAACCUGCCCUUGACUUUGGGAUAACUUCAGGAAACUGGGGCUAAUACCGGAUAGGAGCUCCUGCUUCAUGGUUGGGGUUGGAAAGUUUCGGCGGUUGGGGAUGGACUCGCGGCUUAUCAGCUUGUUGGUGGGGUAGUGGCUUACCAAGGCUUUGACGGGUAGCCGGCCUGAGAGGGUGACCGGCAACAUUGGGACUGAGAUACGGCCCAGACUCCUACGGGAGGCAGAAGUGGGGAAUAUUGCAAAAUGGGCGGAAGCCUGAUGCAGCAACGCCGCGUGAGGGAUGACGGCCUUCGGGUUGUAACCCGCUUUCGCCUGUGACGAAGCGUGAGUGACGGUAAUGGGUAAAGAAGCACCGGCUAACUACGUG